rnacentral:rRNA from 1 species
AACGAACGCUGGCGGCAGGCCUAACACAUGCAAGUCGAGCGCCCUUUCGGGGGAGCGGCGGACGGGUGAGUAACGCGUGGGAAUAUGCCCUUCUCUACGGAAUAGCCUCGGGAAACUGAGAGUAAUACCGUAUACGCCCUGUGGGGGAAAGAUUUAUCGGGGAAGGAUUAGCCCGCGUUGGAUUAGGUAGUUGGUGGGGUAAUGGCCUACCAAGCCGACGAUCCAUAGCUGGUUUGAGAGGAUGAUCAGCCACACUGGGACUGAGACACGGCCCAGACUCCUACGGGAGGCAGCAGUGGGGAAUCUUAGACAAUGGGGGCAACCCUGAUCUAGCCAUGCCGCGUGAGUGAUGAAGGCCUUAGGGUUGUAAAGCUCCUUCAGCUGGGAAGAUAAUGACGGUACCAGCUGAAGAAGCCCCGGCUAACUCCGUG